UACAGAGGGGGCAAGCGUUGUUCGGAAUUACUGGGCGUAAAGGGCGCGUAGGCGGCCUGUUAAGUCGAACGUGAAAUCCCCAGGCUUAACCUGGGAACUGCAUCCGAUACUGGAUGGCUUGAAUCCGGGAGAGGGAUGCAGAAUUCCAGGUGUAGCGGUGAAAUGCGUAGAUAUCUGGAGGAAUACCGGUGGCGAAGGCGGCAUCCUGGACCGGCAUUGACGCUGAGGAGCGAAAGCUAGGGGAGCAAACGGG
rnacentral:rRNA from 1 species